UUUUCUUUCUUUUCUUUCUUUUCUUUUUUCUUCUCUUUAUCACUCUCUUUAUCAUUUGACCGUCCUUUCUUCUCUUUAUCUUUAUCCUUGUGUUUGCUCCGUUUUUCUUCACCAUCUUUCUGUCUGGUUUUAUCAUUUGCUUCUUUCCUUCUCUCGGCACUUUUCUCCAUUUGUUUAAACAUUCCUGGAACUCCAGAUUCAACAGUUGCAGUUGCAGUUGAAGUUGCAGUCGCCACAGAACUUGGGACUGCAGAAUUG
rnacentral:misc_RNA from 1 species